ensembl:lncRNA
CUCAAUAAUUCAGAGAGUGGAUUAUUUAUUUCACUCUAGACCGCUGCUAACUCAAGGCCUCCGGCCUCUGUUCACUCAAGUCCAACGGUGUGUGACGUUGUUUCAUUGAGAAAGCGAAACUACUUUGUUUUUGCCUUCCAAAAGAAGACACGACUAGAAAUCAUGUUUAUAUCACAUUUAUAAUGGGUUUUAUGUUUAUGUCUCUUCACUCCAGCCGGAUAAGGCAUCACAAUAUGUUAAGAGGUGUAACAUUUCCGUCACACGCUUGAGACAUUCGGCCAAUGACAACGCGCUGGAUAGCUGGCCAAUCACAGCACACCUCGCUUUUCAGAGGGAUGAGCCUUGUAAAAAUCGACGCGUUUCAGAAGGGUUAACAUACUCAGAGUUUUCACUUGACCUUCUUUCUGAAACGGGCCACAGGGGCCAAGAGCAUAUGUCUGCAGACUGCAAGAGAAGGGCGUAACUUGAAGGGGGUGUAACUUGAACAAGGGGGUGUAACUUGAAGUUGUCCAAAUCACACAGAACCACACGAGAUGCCAAAACGAGAUGUUGUUGGCAAGAUGGCCACUUGUGUGGAGAAACAAUGGUGAGAAUAUUUUUUUCCUCUAAAUAACCGUUUAAAUUAUAGUUUGUAAGCAUACAGUGGUAUUGUUUAUGGAGUUAAUAAUCUAUUAAAACUAAGAUGUAAAUUAAGCAAUAUAUAAGCAAAAGGUGUAAAGACGCUAUCCCCGGUUUCACAGACAAGGCUAGUCUAGACUAGUCCCAAACUAAAAUGCAUGUCUGGGCAGUUUUAACUGAAAGGAGCUUGAACGGACUCGUAUUAAUUUUUUUUUUUUUUUUUUUUUUUUCAAGAUGCACAUCAGUAUUGUUUCAAUCCAAGGCACGUUUAUAAAAUUUACUUAAAUGUCCUAAUUGAACUAUGGCCUAACCUGGCUUAAUCUAAACCCCAUCUGUGACCUACAUAAUAUAGCAUAUUUGUGAUUUUGCUGUAAAAACACAUUUUUGCUUAACUAUCAAGGGAGCUCCAUUAAGACAUCUCAAAAGUGGAUUUACAUAAACCAUAUAUACAUCUUGAAGACGAUUACUAAAUGUCUAUUUAACAUCUGACAAGAUAGUCUUUGAUAAGUAUUGCAGAUGAGCAUAUCCAAAAGACAUGAAACAGACAUCUGAGUGAUGUAUGUGUGCUAUUGUGUAGAAUUCACUGUCAACACUGCUUUAGAUUAAUUUAAGUCAUGUAAACAAACAAAUCUACAUAAAGUAACUAAACUUAUGUUAUCCAUUUUAUUUGUCCAUUUGUAAUAUUGAUAAUUUAAGGAACAUGUGUUGGAUAAAAAGCAAGUAACAUCAGCAACUAACUCAACAUGUAAAUGCAGUAUUAAGCAGAUAAAUCACAGAGGAGACUUGACUCUUGUCUGAAUGUUACAGGGACAGAUGAGACACACGUGUGUUUAUCUGCUGCAGAGAGACUGAUAAAGCAAUGCUGCUAUCAAAGGAUUUGAGUGAGUACACUACAGAAAUGAAUAAAACAUUUUAAAUCUUAAGUUUAUUUUUAUUG